UUUUCGGACCUAGCGGCGGACGGGUGAGUAAUGCGUAGGAAGCUACCCGAUAGAGGGGGAUACCAGUUGGAAACGACUGUUAAUACCGCAUAAUGUCUACGGACCAAAGUGUGGGACCUUCGGGCCACAUGCUAUCGGAUGCGCCUACGUGGGAUUAGCUAGUUGGUGGGGUAAUGGCUCACCAAGGCGACGAUCCCUAGCUGGUUUGAGAGGAUGAUCAGCCACACUGGAACUGAGACACGGUCCAGACUCCUACGGGAGGCAGCAGUGGGGAAUAUUGGACAAUGGGCGCAAGCCUGAUCCAGCCAUGCCGCGUGUGUGAAGAAGGCCUUCGGGUUGUAAAGCACUUUCAGCGAGGAGGAAGGGUUAGUAGUUAAUAGCUGCUAAUUUUGACGUUACUCGCAGAAGAAGCACCGGCUAACUCUGUGCCAGCAGCCGCGGUAAUACAGAGGGUGCGAGCGUUAAUCGGAAUUACUGGGCGUAAAGCGCACGUAGGCGGUUUUUUAAGUCAGAUGUGAAAGCCCCGGGCUCAACCUGGGAAUUGCAUUUGAAACUGGAAAACUAGAGUGUGUGAGAGGGGGGUAGAACUCCAAGUGUAGCGGUGAAAUGCNUAGAGAUUUUGGAGGAAUACCAGUGGCGAAG
rnacentral:rRNA from 1 species